GCAGAAGGAUCAUUAGUGAAAGUUUCGGGCCUGCCAUACGGACGCAAACACGUCUCUGGCGCCCAUCACUAUAUCCAUACCAACCCCUGUGCACUGUGAUGACGAAUGUCAUCGAACAAAAAAAAACUCGUAUGGUUGAAUGUACGUGAAAUUGUAGGUAUAGCCUACGAACUAUACACAACUUUCGACAACGGAUCUCUUGGUUCUCCCA
rnacentral:misc_RNA from 1 species